rnacentral:lncRNA from 1 species
AUGAAAAAAGUUUUUGAUGUCUACCUGUGUUUUCUUCAAAAACAUCAGUCUGAAACGGCUUUAAAAAAUGUCUUCACUGCCUUACGGUCAUUAAUUUAUAAGUUUCCCUCGACGUUCUAUGAAGGGAGGGCAGACAUGUGUGCGGCUCUGUGCUAUGAGAUUCUCAAGUACUGUAACUCCAAGCUGAGUUCCAUACGAACAGAAGCCUCCCAGCUGCUCUAUUUCCUGAUGAGGAACAACUUCGACUACACCGGGAAGAAGUCCUUUGUCCGGACACACUUGCAGGUACGUGUGAUUUCGCUUUCUAGGACAGUUAGCCCCAGUGGAAUCUUGUUUUAGGAAAAAAAACUUUGUCACAUUUACCAGUUUACCUGCACUCUCAGCCCUAAAGUAGAAACUCAGGAAGUCCUUUUUUCUGGCUUAGUUUAUUUCAUGUUCCAUACCAUAAAAUGCUACCCCAGGAUGUGUUUCUGUUGGUAACUUGACAUUUAAAUACUGUAUCAACAUUGAACUAGCUGAAAUUCUAUUGUCUCAAAAAGUACAGUUGUACCUCAGUUUCCAAACUGAAUUUGUUUUACGAUUUUGGGAAAGAUGGUUGCAUUUGUGUUUGUGCCG